rnacentral:rRNA from 1 species
GCCUGUUUAUCAAAAACAUGGCCUUUUGGGAAUAAUUUAAGGUCUGGCCUGCCCAAUGAUUUUAUUUAAUGGCCGCGGUACUUUGACCGUGCAAAGGUAGCAUAAUCAUUAGUUUUUUAAUUGAAAGCUGGAAUGAACGGUCUCACAAGAAAAUUACUGUCUCAAUUGAAUGGUUUUAGAAUUUUAUUUUUUAGUAAGAAAGCUUAAAUGUUUUUAUGGGACGAGAAGACCCUAUAGAAUUUUAUAGAUUUUUUUAGAUUAGAUUUUAGGAUUAAUUGUUUGGAUUUAGAAAAAUUUAUUUUGUUGGGGUGACAGAAAAAUUUAGAAAACUUUUUUUAAAAUAAUUCACUGGUUUGUGAUUAAGUGAUCCGUUUAUGGCGAUUAUAAGAUUAAAUUACCUUAGGGAUAACAGCGUAAUUAGUUUGGAGAGUUCAUAUUGAUAAUCUAGUUUGCGACCUCGAUGUUGGAUUAAAAUAAACUUUUGGUGUAGGGGCUAAUAAGUUAAGUCUGUUCGACUUUUAAAAUUUUACAUGAUCUGAGUUCAGACCGG